AGUAACUUUAUUUUUCGUUUUUCCAUGUCCAAUGUUUGACCAUUCAUUUUAUUUGAAAAAUCUGUAUAAAAAUUUUAAAAAAUUAGUCACGUAUAAAGUACUAUUCAUAUUCAUAUUUUAUCAUCUAGUAACAAUAAAAAUAUUAAUCGCAAAAAAAUUUCAAAUAAGACGAAUGGUCCAACGUUGAACAUGAAAAA
rfam:Oryza brachyantha chromosome 2, whole genome shotgun sequence.